GAAAUGCACGGUUGGCACACAGCUUUCCAUGAGAACUCUCCGGCCUCACUUCAGAAGCACAGACUCUACCUGGCUGCCCUGCAUUACAAUGAAAAUACUGACUGACCACAGGCAACAUCUACAGGUGGAGAGCUGCUGUACAGUCAACUUCCUCAAAUCUAUGCAUGGAGAAUGAACUGCAAAGCCUGUGAAAGCAGAGCCAACAUUCCACUAUGUUGAUGCACUGUUGGACCUGAUCUUCAAGAAGAUUUUCCAGGACCCUGGCCCAUAUGUGAACGAGGUGCUGAAACUUACAAUCCCUGAAGACCUCUCGGCUCAGUAUUAAAGACCCAACAAGCUGGACGUUAUAGCCAGUUACGUGCCAAGGUUCAAUCAAGGACAGGACUGAACCUAACAUACUGUCCUUCAGCGUCGGGGAACUCUGCACGAAUCCUCAGCACCACACAGGCAGGCAGCACAGCUCUCACUCUCUGCCCCAGAAAGCCCCAGCACCAGCUUACAAAGCUUCUGUAGGCUACAUAUCUAUAUUGGCUGGACACAAUUCAGUAGAAAGUCAGCACUGAAUGUUCACAUCCAUGGCAACUGGCAAGUUUAACUGUUCCACUUUAGAUAUUUAUUUUGUAUGUCUACAAUUGUUUCUUGCAAUAAAACAUCUCUCCCAACUG